rnacentral:rRNA from 1 species
GCUGCGGAGGGAUCAUUACCGAGUUUACAACUCCCAAACCCCUGUGAACAUACCUUAAUGUUGCCUCGGCGGAUCAGCCCGCGCCCCGUAAAACGGGACGGCCCGCCAGAGGACCCAAACUCUAAUGUUUCUUAUUGUAACUUCUGAGUAAAACAAACAAAUAAAUCAAAACUUUCAACAACGGAUCUCUUGGUUCUGGCAUCGAUGAAGAACGCAGCAAAAUGCGAUAAGUAAUGUGAAUUGCAGAAUUCAGUGAAUCAUCGAAUCUUUGAACGCACAUUGCGCCCGCUGGUAUUCCGGCGGGCAUGCCUGUUCGAGCGUCAUUUCAACCCUCAAGCCCCCGGGUUUGGUGUUGGGGAUCGGCUCUGCCCUUCUGGGCGGUGCCGCCCCCGAAAUACAUUGGCGGUCUCGCUGCAGCCUCCAUUGCGUAGUAGCUAACACCUCGCAACUGGAACGCGGCGCGGCCAUGCCGUAAAACCCCAACUUCUGAAUGUGACC